CUCUUUUUCCAACUAUAAAUACUGCCUCCUGCUUCAACUCUUGGAGCCACAACACAUACAAAGCUUUGCAAUCUACAGCAUAGUUCAUACCUUCGUGAUUUCUCUUUCCUUCCAUAAAACCAAACAUGUCUAGCACCUGCGGCAACUGCGACUGCGCUGACAAGACCCAGUGUGUGUAAGUGCUUAAUGCCCUCUCUUUGCUUGCGUGUAUUCCGACAAAAGUCAGCCAACUUUUAUAGAAUUUUGUUUAUUUUAAAUUCUAAAUCCUAAGUUAUAAAUUCUUAAUUCUAAAUCCUAAAGAAGAGUUGACUAAUAUUAUCAAACUAAAAAUUAGUUGCCUAUAUUUUCUCUUCUGAAAAUUUUGAUACAAUUUUAAUAGAAAUUCUUCUAUGCUAUGAGAGCAAGUUCACUAAGGCUGCCAUUGUUUCUAACAUGAUAAGACAAGACACUAAGAACAAAGAACAAAAUAUAAAAAAUGAAGACAUAGAAUUUAGUGUUUUUGUAUUCUGUUUGGUGAUAAAAUAGAACGAAUUAUGAAAAUCUAAUUUAUUUUUAUUUUUUCAUUUAAAAAGUUUGAAAAGAAAAAUAUGAUAAUAAAAAAUAUAAUUAACAAAAAAAUAAAAAAUAAGUUGUGUUUUCUGUUAGUAUCUCUGUACACAAAAUACACUAAUUCAGUAUCUAUGGACAUAAUGUCUCUAUCAAUGUUUCAUCUAUCAAUCGCAGCCUAACAAACUUGCUCUGUACCAUUCAAUUGUACUUCAUUUUCAAUCAUUAUGAAUAGUUCGCUCGAUACCAUUUGUGCAUGUUUAAUACUUUGCUUUUACUAAUUCGCUCGUACAAAUUUUUCAGGAAGGGAAACAACGUCGUUCAAAUCAUGGAGACUGAAAAGAGGUAAAAUUGACGAGAAAUUCUUAUAUCCUUCAUAGUUUUACUGCUUUUUUAGCUCUACCCAUUACAGAGAAAAGAACCCCUACUCAAGCUGCUUUUUUUUGGUGCAUUUGCAGCUACACGGAGACGGUUGUCGCUUCAGCUGCUGAGAACGACGGAUGCAAGUGCGGCGCUAGCUGCAGUUGCACCAACUGCACCUGCAACAACUGCAGCUGUGGCCAUUAAAUACGAUUGCCAAAUGUGUUUGGGAAUGAUUUCCUAAUAAGUAAUCUUUUACUAAAUAAAUUUGUGUGCUUAUUGCACUUCAUAUCUGUAUAAGUAAUGCACUGUGAAUCGAGUUUGGUUCUAGUGAUAGUUAUAUAAAAGCUAUGGCUUUGGCACUUUAUUGUUACAUGGACUAAAAAUAUGCA
rnacentral:lncRNA from 1 species